rnacentral:rRNA from 1 species
UACGUAGGGUGCGAGCGUUGUCCGGAUUUAUUGGGCGUAAAGGGCUCGUAGGCGGCCUGUCGCGUCGGGAGUGAAAGCCCACUGCUUAACGGUGGGUCUGCUUUCGGUACGGGCGGGCUAGAGUAUGGCAGGGGAGACUGGAAUUCCUGGUGUAGCGGUGGAAUGCGCAGAUAUCAGGAGGAACACCGGUAGCGAAGGCGGGUCUCUGGGCCAUUACUGACGCUGAGGAGCGAAAGCGUGGGGAGCAAACAGG